rnacentral:rRNA from 1 species
UACAGAGGUCCCAAGCGUUGUUCGGAUUCACUGGGCGUAAAGGGUGCGUAGGUGGCCAGGUAGGUUCGGUGUGAAAGCUCGGAGCUCAACUCCGAAAAGGCAUUGAAUACUAUCUGGCUGGAGGGUCGGAGGGGAGACUGGAAUUCUCGGUGUAGCAGUGAAAUGCGUAGAUAUCGAGAGGAACACCAGUGGCGAAGGCGAGUCUCUGGACGACACCUGACGA